GAGAGAGGGAAAGAGACAGAGCCUGGCAUCUCCCCACAUAUGCUGCACGUCUUGUGCUCUUCAUCUCUUCCUGUAGAUCUGAGUUACCAUCUGCCACUUCCCUUCACUCUAAAACUUCCUUCAGUCCAAGUCUGCUGGCAACGAACUUCCUCAGUUUUUGUUUAUCUGGAAAUGUCUUUAUUUCUCAUUUUUGAAAGAUAGUUUCUCCGGACACUGAGGUUUUGCUUGUAUUGUCGGUGAGCCUCCUGGACUGAAUCUGCUGGAUCUGUCCCUCCAUGUUGUGCAGCCAUGAUGUUUCUGCUCAGGGCCUCUGCUACACGUCUGACCAGUCUACUGUCUGACCCCAGUGGGGCAGCUAUUUAGGCUGCCAGAGCUGCCUGUUCACUUGCUGCUGAGAUCCAACUGGUACUGACGAUGCCAGUGGGCGGGGCUUUUCACCUUCGGCUCCAAAUCAAGUGCUGCCGCCCCCCGCCCGCCCCGNNNNNNNNNNNNNNNNCAACGAUGACGGAACUACUACACUGAUGGGGGGUUAGAGGUGGCAGGGGGUAGUCCCCAGCCAAGAACAUGAGAAACUCCCCCUGCGGGGGGUGGACAGGGAAGGAGGGAGUUUGGGGUCAGCUGUUAAAUACUGGAUGGAGAACAACAGGUCCCACUGCGUGGCGUGGGAACCAACGAGACGCAAUCCCCUCCCACAAACCAUAACGGAGGAAAACGUGAGAAAGAAUAUACAUGUGUAUAACUGGGUCCCUUUGCUGU
rnacentral:lncRNA from 1 species